CACGUAGGGUGCGAGCGUUGUCCGGAAUUAUUGGGCGUAAAGAGCUCGUAGGCGGUGUGUCGCGUCGGCCGUGAAAACCUGCAGCUUAACUGUGGGCUUGCGGUCGAUACGGGCAUCACUGGAGUUCGGCAGGGGAGACUGGAAUUCCUGGUGUAGCGGUGAAAUGCGUAGAUAUCGGGAGGAAUACCUAUGGCGAAAAGCAGGCUACUGGACCGUCACUGACUCUGGAUC
rnacentral:rRNA from 1 species